AUUUUUUAAUCACUUGAUGACUAUUAUCAAUUCACAUGUAUAUAUGUGGAGUGGCAAAUCAUUUUUAAAUAAUCACUUAGCUUAGAAAAAAAGAAUCAUUUUCAAAGAACUAAUAGUAUUUGUCACUUUCCAAAUUACCCUGGCCAUAUUGCUCUUGGAGGUCGUAUCCACUUUUACAUUUUACCAGACAUUGCUAGCAAUUAGAUGUUUUUUGGGUUAAUGUUUCUCGACAAACUGAUUUCUUCAGUUUUGCCUUGAUUGUUGGAAAAUGCAACCAGGGUACAAAUUAUACUAUUUAUAAAAAAAUUUAUCCAUGUUUAAAAAGGAAAAUUAUUGAAUUGUUGAGACCAAAUUAUUGGCUAAUGAUCAGCUGAGAACAUUUUGAUUUGCUGUAGAAAGGUUCUGCUCAUCCAUGAGGAUGUAUAUCUAGAUAAACUUUUGAGCGGAGUUUUCAUCCAAACAAAAAGGUUUCAUGCACAUAAGAGGAUGUGUGGUUAUUUUUUUUAGUAGGUUGGUUCAUGUCAUUGGAAUCAUGCUCCUUGGGGAAACUUAUGCCCUCCCUCUAAUUUUUGUGGGGUUUAAAGUGGCUUGGCAAGAGAAAGGAGUGAGGUGGGAAUGUGUAUGGUUCUUUGUCUACUGACUUUGUGUUCUCUGAGCAAAACUAUGAAAAUGUUGUACCAUUAGUGAGCCAACAAUAGUUGAUCUAUUUAGCAUUAGGCAAGGUCUGCCGAAUCGGGCCGAACUGCUCGGUUCAGGCAGUACCGAACCGACCCAGUGCGAAAUCGGGUCGGUUCGCUAAUUGAAAACGGUUCUAACCCAUACACUGGGUCGGUUCGCUAAUUAAAAAUGGUUUUGGGGACUGGUUGGCCGGUACCGGCUUGUACCUGUCGGAAUCGGCAUGUACCUACCGGAACCGGUCGGUUCGCACCGAGUCAGGGAGCAAUGUGGCAAUAAUGCCAUAGUGGCCUGCUGGGGACUUUAAAAGCCCCUUCAGCAGCAUUGGAAAGGCUCGAGCUUCCCCUUUCAAAAAAAUUUACAAACAACACCGAUUCAAGCUAUCAGAAGGAACAGUCAAGGCUAAAUAAUGUGUGUUUCCUCUCUUCUAUCUUUUUUUGGGGGGAUUUGAAAAAAUAGCUCUAAAUUACAAAAUAAGAUUCGAUUUGGGCUUAUUUUUUUAUAUGUUGUAGAUCUAUGGACGGUGUACACACUAACAUAAGAGGAGAUUAUUAACAUAGUACAACACGGUUCUUUUCAGAGACCAAAUUAUUUAGAGAGGACAACGAUAGCUUUGGAGUGCGAGGAGUUGUCGUUAGUAAGACAAGUAUAAAUUCAGCUGAAUGGUGGAUUCAUUUUAGGCUGUCCGCGAAAAAUCUUAAGCGGAUAGAUAUCCGGAUUCUCUUCCAGACGGUCUUUUUGAGUGGCUGUGAGCGCAACUGAUCCACCUUUGCCAUCAUCCACAACAAGCAGAGAAACCGUUUCACACAAAAGCGCCUUAACGAUCUUGUAUAUGUUCACUGCAAUCUGAGGUUGAGGCUAAAAUGCAUUCAGAAGAAAGUAGAACUCAAGUAUGCAGAUCCGGUCCAUAGUGCUUUCGUUGAUGAUGAGAAUGAUCUUAUGAUUGGAUGGCUUGUGGGCCAGCAGCAGGAAUCAGAGCUUGACGAGCCAGGAUCGCCUCCACGAUCGGUCAGUUUCGUAGCUAGCGGGGCUAGGAUCGAUGCAGAGCAAUGGACCGAGCGCAAUAUUUUACGCAUUAUUACGACUGAUCAACCACAGCUACAAGAGAGCCAGUCACCACAUGACUCAUUGUUCGAGACAUUCUCUUAGAGAUACGAUCGAGAGAUGCUUAGAUGAGGCCACUACGCAAUCCGGUCGACGUGGUCAGGAGGAUGACAUAGCCAGACAGGGAGAGGUCGAAGGUCAGAAGGCAGUUGCCUAGCACACUAAAAAAGAAAAACAAAAGGCACCUGCAGCCCUAAUGGAGAGUGUCGAGAAGUCUUGGAGCAACAUUGAUGACAGUUCUAGUGGUCGUGGAUCUGCUGGCCAUGGAGAGAGUGGAGAAUGGGACACUGUUCGUGAGAUAGCCGCAAGGCGUUCUUCGAUACAUCGGCGAGUUCCAAUUUAUGCAUGCUAUACAGGAUAGAGACCACGAUGCAUAAUCUAGUAGAGUGCGCGAGGAUACGAUUGCAUAUAAAAGACAGGCUCCUCGAGGUCAUUCAGGAAGACAUGAUGCAGCUAUAGAUGAUCUCGCACGUGGUGUAGGAUCCAUAAACAUAUCAGAUUUCAAGUUGUAUGCUGGAUCCUAUUACCUGCAGCCACAUACAACUUAUGAUCCAUAUGGAUACGGAUAUGGAUAUGGUGCAUCUGAGGCAUCUUUCGGUGGCUACUAUCUUACUUAGUUCGAGGCAUUUUGCGAGUCGGAUUUUGCUGCCAGUAUAUUCGGAUGGGUCUCUCCACAGUCGUAUUAUUAGUUAAAGGAUAUCUUUUAGAGUUAGAG